rnacentral:rRNA from 1 species
AUUGAACGCUGGCGGCAGGCCUAACACAUGCAAGUCGAACGAGUGGCGGACGGGUGAGUAAUGUCUGGGAAACUGCCUGAUGGAGGGGGAUAACUACUGGAAACGGUAGCUAAUACCGCAUACCAUCAGAUGUGCCCAGAUGGGAUUAGCUAGUUGGUGGGGUAACGGCGCACCAAGGCGACGAUCCCUAGCUGGUCUGAGAGUGUGACCAGCCAGCCUGUAACUGAGACACGGUCCAGACUCCUACGGGAGGCAGCAGUGGGGAAUAGUGCGCAAUGGUGGCAAGCCUGAUGCAGCCAUGCCGCGUGUAUGAAGAAGGCCUUCGGGUUGUAAAGUACUUUCAGCGGGGAGGCGUUACCCGCAGAAGAAGCACCGGCUAACUCCGUGCCAGCCGCCGCGGUAAUUC